rnacentral:rRNA from 1 species
GUCGAACGAUGAUCCCAGCUUGCUGGGGGAUUAGUGGCGAACGGGUGAGUAACACGUGAGUAACCUGCCCUUAACUCUGGGAUAAGCCUGGGAAACUGGGUCUAAUACCGGAUAUGACUCCUCAUCGCAUGGUGGGGGGUGGAAAGCUUUUUUGUGGUUUUGGAUGGACUCGCGGCCUAUCAGCUUGUUGGUGAGGUAAUGGCUCACCAAGGCGACAACGGGUAGCCGGCCUGAAAGGGUGACCGGCCCCACUGGGACUGAAACACGGCCCAAACUCCUACGGGAGGCAGCAGUGGGGAAUAUUGCACAAUGGGCGAAAGCCUGAUGCACCGACCCCCCGUGAGGGAUGACGGCCUUCGGGUUGUAAACCUCUUUCAUUAGGGAAAAAGCAAAAGUGACGGUCCCUGCAAAAAAAGCGCCGGCUAACUCCUUGCCAGCGCCCGCGGUAAUACGUAGGGGGCAGGCGUUAUCCGGAAUUAUUGGGGGUAAAGAGCUCGUAGGGGGUUUGUCGCGUCUGCCGUGAAACUCCGGGGCUCACCUCCGGAUCUCCGGUGGGUACGGGGAGACUAAAGUGAUGUAGGGAAGACUGGAAUUCCUGGUGUAGCGGUGAAAUGCGCAAAUCUCAGGAGGAACACCGAUGGCAAAGGCAGGUCUCUGGGCAUUAACUGACGCUAAGAAGCGAAAGCAUGGGGAGCGAACAGGAUUAGAUACCCUGGUAUUCCAUGCCGUAAACUUUGGGCACUAGGUGUGGUGGACAUUCCACGUUCUCCGCGCCGUAGCUAACGCAUUAAGUGCCCCGCCUGAGGAGUACGGCCCGCAGGCUAAACUC